rnacentral:rRNA from 1 species
GACUGUGCUGGACUGAAUGCACCUUAUCUCUUCUGAUUUUAGAAGCUAAGCAGUUCUGUACUUGGCUAGAACUUGCAUGGCAGAUAGUGUCAGAAUCACAGGGGUCACAGUUG